CAGUGCAGCAUCCAGAGGAUUUACCCCACAGAAGUGAUGGGGACAUGAACAAUUCCAGCAAUGAGCAUUGUUUAAACAAAAGGUCCAGAAACAGAAAAAAUUAGUCUUAUCCUCCAGAUUCUCCCUUCCAAGUGUGACCUCAGAAACAUCAGAAAGAGGGGUUUUUUCUUCUACUGCUCCAGAUGAGUCUUUGUAUUCCUACUGUAUCCCCUCCUGUGACAGGAAACCACAGCAUAAUUAUCCCUUUUAUCAAACCACAAGUUUUAUCUUAAAACCAGAUAAGGUUUCUGUCUUCCACAACUGCAACAGGAAGCCUGUUGCUAAACCUCAUUACAUCAACUAUUACAAACAUCUUUCUUCUUUCAUCAUAAGUUUGUCUAUAA